rnacentral:tRNA from 1 species
GGGAGUGGAUAGGUGCUGGUGUGCCUACCGGUCUUCAAAACCGUGUUGACGGGUUAACCCCCGUUAGGUGGGUUCGAUUCCCACACACUCCC